rnacentral:rRNA from 1 species
AGUUUGAUCCUGGCUCAGGAUGAACGCUGGCGGCGUGCUUAACACAUGCAAGUCGAACGGGAAACUUUUCAUUGAAGCUUCGGCAGAUUUGGUCUGUUUCUAGUGGCGGACGGGUGAGUAACGCGUGGGUAACCUGCCUUAUACAGGGGGAUAACAACCAGAAAUGGUUGCUAAUACCGCAUAAGCGCACAGGACCGCAUGGUCCGGUGUGAAAAACUCCGGUGGUAUAAGAUGGACCCGCGUUGGAUUAGCUAGUUGGCAGGGUAACGGCCUACCAAGGCGACGAUCCAUAGCCGGCCUGAGAGGGUGAACGGCCACAUUGGGACUGAGACACGGCCCAGACUCCUACGGGAGGCAGCAGUGGGGAAUAUUGCACAAUGGGGGAAACCCUGAUGCAGCGACGCCGCGUGAAGGAAGAAGUAUCUCGGUAUGUAAACUUCUAUCAGCAGGGAAGAUAGUGACGGUACCUGACUAAGAAGCCCCGGCUAACUACGUGCCAGCAGCCGCGGUAAUAC